rnacentral:rRNA from 1 species
AUGUGUGUCCCAAAAAACAAAGGAGGUAUGGACUUUCGAGAUAUACACGGUUUCAAACUGGCUUUGUUAGCUAAACAAGCACGACGUCUUCUUGAUAAACCUGACUUGUUAUGUGCCAUUAUUUUGAGAGCUAAGUAUUUUCCCGAUGGUGCUUUGAUGAGUGCAAGUUCAAAAAAGAGUUCGUCUUUUACUUUGCAAGGCAUUAUGGCGGGUGUAAAUCCUCUAAGAAAUGGUUAUAUCUGCGAGUUGGUAAUGGGAAAACUAUUGAUAUUUGAAGAGAUGUAUGGAUCCCAUACGAUGUGA